rnacentral:rRNA from 1 species
GAGCGUUGAAAAGCUCGGGGAUGACUUGUGGGUAGCGGUGAAAUUCCAAUCGAGCCCGGAGAUAGCUGGUUCUCCCCGAAAUAGCUUUAGGGCUAGCCUCAAGGUGAGAGAUACGGAGGUAGAGCACUGAAUGUCCUAGGGGGUAUUGCACCUACCGAAGACUAUUAAACUCCGAAUGCCGUCAUCUUAUACUUGGGAGUCAGACUGUGGGUGAUAAGAUUCAUAGUCGAAAGGGCAACAGCCCAGAUCGUCAGCUAAGGUCCCUAAAUGUAAGUUAAGUGGUAAAGGAUGUGGGAUUGCACAGACAACCAGGAUGUUGGCUUAGAAGCAGCCACUCAUUCAAAGAGUGCGUAAUAGCUCACUGG